rnacentral:rRNA from 1 species
GACGAACGCUGGCGGCGUGCCUAAUACAUGCAAGUCGAACGCUGAAGGAGGAGCUUGCUUCUCUGGAUGAGUUGCGAACGGGUGAGUAACGCGUAGGUAACCUGCCUGGUAGCGGGGGAUAACUAUUGGAAACGAUAGCUAAUACCGCAUAAUAGCAGUUGUUGCAUGACAACUGUUUGAAAGGUGCAAUUGCACCACUACCAGAUGGACCUGCGUUGUAUUAGCUAGUUGGUGGGGUAACGGCUCACCAAGGCGACGAUACAUAGCCGACCUGAGAGGGGGAUCGGCCACACUGGGACUGAGACACGGCCCAGGCUCCUACGGGAGGCAGCAGUAGGGAAUCUUCGGCAAGAGACGGAAGUCUGACCGAGCAACGCCGCGUGAGUGAAGAAGGUUUUCGGAUCGUAAAGCUCGGUUGUAAGAGAAGAACGAGUGUGAGAGUGGAAAGUUCACACUGUGACGGUAUCUUACCAGAAAGGGACGGCUAACUACGUG